rnacentral:rRNA from 1 species
CAAUACCCAAGUAAAGUGGCGCACGGGUGAGUAACACGUGACUAACCUACCUUUUAGUGGGGGAUAACCUAGGGAAACCUGGGCUAAUACCGCAUAAUACCUACGGGUCAAAGCAGCAAUGCGCUGAAAGAGGGGGUCGCGGCCGAUUAGCUAGUUGGCGGGGUAAUGGCCCACCAAGGCAGUGAUCGGUAUCCGGCCUGAGAGGGCGCACGGACACACUGGAACUGAAACACGGUCCAG